UUAGUCGCUGGAUUGGGAUGAAGAAGGGAAGAGAUGAGAAUCAGGUAGGGAAUGCCGAACCAAAAUCUUCCGGAGGGUCGAUAAAGAAGUUGCAGCAGAAGCAGCAGCAGAACGGGCCGAAGCCGCUAUGGUUUGCUCCAGAGUUCGAUGGGCUUCACUGUUUUGAGAUCAUGGUCUCCCACUGAGAAUCCUCUUUUUCAUUAUUUCGUAGCGUCUUUUUAGCUUUUUUUCUUUUUUUUUCCUUCUACUUUUUUUCUUUACCUCUAGGCAACACUUCCAUUGAUUGAUUCUGUUAUCAGUGAAACAAUAUGGUAAUAUCAAGAGUAUUGAUUCUGUAAGGUAUUAAGUUUAAUUAUAGCACGAUUCUUAAUUUCUUUGCUGUCUUCUCGUUUUCAACCUGGAAAUCUAGAACAGGAUUUCUCUCAAGAAAAAUAAAGAGAUUUUUUUUUUUUAUUAGAGAGAACACAUGUCAGUUGCUCGAAUAUUGUAUGACUAAACAUAAUUAUAUGAGCAAAUCUAGCAAUAUUGUAUGACUACAGAGUUUUUGAAAUAUGUAAUAUUUUUUACAAUUUAUUUAGAUAAUCUAACGAAAUUGGGUUGGAUUUUUCAUUGUAUUCUUCAUUGGAUUCAUGGAUUGACCAGCCUAUUUAGGUUGAUAACCUAUAUCAACCCAUUACACCUUAAAAGAGGAAAAAAAAAUCCUUCCACAACAAUUGGAUUGAUAUGGCCAUAUUCCAAUGGGUCGUCCAAUUCAUAAAUCCAUCAAAAAAUCCAGUCCAAUCAUACCGAUUAGUCCUCAAUAUCUUUCUAUGUCUUUAUUUUAGUAUUUUUUUGUUCUUUAAUUUAAUGCUGCAUAAAUUAUUUGUUCUUUAAUUUAUAUUUAGUAGGUUAAAAUAUCUAUAGCAGCAGCCAAUUAAAAACCACAC
rnacentral:lncRNA from 1 species